rnacentral:tRNA from 1 species
GCCUUCGUGGUGUAGUGAGCAGCACGCUGGGUGCGUAUUCCAGAGGCCCGUGGUUCGAGUCCCGGCGAAGGCG